rnacentral:rRNA from 1 species
AGGCAGCAGUGGGGAAUUUUGGACAAUGGGCGCAAGCCUGAUCCAGCAAUGCCGCGUGUGUGAAGAAGGCCUUCGGUUGUAAAGCACUUUUGGCGGGAGCGAAACGGCGUUUUGCUAAUACCAGACGCUAAUGACGGUACCCGCAGAAUAAGCACCGGCUAACUACGUGCCAGCAGCCGCGGUAAGACGUAGGGUGCGAGCGUUAAUCGGAAUUACUGGGCGUAAAGCGUGCGCAGGCGGCUUUGUAAGACAGGUGUGAAAUCCCCGGGCUUAACCUGGGAACUGCACUUGUGACUGCAAGGCCUAGAGUGUGUCAGAGGGAGGUGGAAUUCCGCGUGUAGCAGUGAAAUGCGUAGAUAUGCGGAGGAACACCGAUGGCGAAGGCAGCCUCCUGGGAUAACACUGACGCUCAUGCACGAA